rnacentral:rRNA from 1 species
GACGAACGCUGGCGGCGUGCUUAACACAUGCAAGUCGAACGGAAAGGCCCUGCUUUUGUGGGGUGCUCGAGUGGCGAACGGGUGAGUAACACGUGAGUAACCUGCCCUUGACUUUGGGAUAACUUCAGGAAACUGGGGCUAAUACCUGAUAGGAGCUCCUGCUGCAUGGUGGGGGUUGGAAAUUUUCGGCGGUUGGGGAUGGACUCGCGGCUUAUCAGCUUGUUGGUGGGGUAGUGGCUUACCAAGGCUUUGACGGGUAGCCGGCCUGAGAGGGUGACCGGCCACAUUGGGACUGAGAUACGGCCCAGACUCCUACGGGAGGCAGCAGUGGGGAAUAUUGCACAAUGGGCGGAAGCCUGAUGCAGCAACGCCGCGUGCGGGAUGACGGCCUUCGGGUUGUAAACCGCUUUCGCCUGUGGCGAAGCGUGAGUGACGGUAAUGGGUAAAGAAGCACCGGCUAACUACGUG